UUUCAAGCCAGCCAAACUUUCAGAGCCAUACAGGAGACAGACAGACAUACCCACAGCAAGUUAAUCCUUCAAAAAGGAUGAUGAUGAUGAAUGUUACUGAUUUCCCAGCAGCAGUAUUUCAUCUUUCGAACACAGAGCACAUUAACAGGAGUGUGCAGAAGCCAGUGUCGUACCUGUCUAGCCAUCUGUGGGCUGGGGUGUUCCAGCAAGCGUGAGUCUGUGUUCCUGCAAGAAGAAGAGGAGUAAAACCAGGCUUCAUUACAUAGCUCCAGAGAAAACACACACCCAUCCUACUGGAUAGACAUCCUUCCCCAUGGCUGAGAUUUAGAAAGCAUGACCUCAAACACAAGAUAACUCCUACAGUGUCGAUGUGGCAAAUCACCUAACUUCAAGCUGAUAAAUAAUUUUUGGCCCUUGUCAGCCACGAAGGUGUGUCAGGCUUAGUUACAAGAGCACGACUGAAGUCCCGGGUACCAAGAGGAAGCCCCUGAAAAGUGGCAGCUUUACAUUUCAGCCAAAUCAGGCACUGGGAAGUGUUACGGAGAUUAGCUGCUAGCUGCAGGUAUUUCCCAGGAGGACAAAAGGAGAUGCCUCUCCGCAGCCUCCGCGUCUGUCCUGACCUGUGAUGCACGGUCAGUGCCGCUGCUGCCCAGCGCAACAUCGGGCUGAAGGUUUCAGAGUUUGUAAUUUAAAUAGCACCACUCCCGGUUUCCCUUUUAAAGAUGCGGCAGCCUGAGAGAAGCAGCACGGUUGGUCAGUCGAGGUGACAAACGUCUGCUAGAUGAGUGGCACCUUGUCAUUGACUCUGCCAGAAUAUAAAAGUUUCAUCUUCCUGACAACACUUUCAGCAGUGAAAGAGGACGAAGCGUCCAAACAAAGCACCUCCUGAUUAUGCUCUGGGGACUGUAAUCUUGCAGUUCUCUUAGAUACUGUGUCUGUAUCAGAAACUAACAUCUAAUUUAUACCAUCUUAAUAAUUAACAGUCAGGAUUUAGAAGACCGUGGCAUGUUUUCAUCUUGCAAUAUUUACUAACUUCCUUAAAGCUCCAACUCUGGAGCCAUGUUUCAGUAGGGGGGAAAAAAAAAAUAGAACUGUUUUAAAAAUAAAAAAUUGUUAAGAAUUAGACAUCAGAAUAAUAUUAAAAAAAUCUUAAGACCUGCUGAAAAAA